CCCACACCACUCUCAUCUCCUCUCCAAGCUAGCCAUAGAAACUACACAGUCCUAAGUUUAGUCCACAGAGAGAGUGAGGCUAUACCACUAUAGUAGUACACAAAGUGAUAUGGAGGGAGUGGUGAAAACAGAGGAAACAGAGGCAUGGCACAAACCAAAGAAUGGGAGUGUCUUCCCUGCAAAGAAACGUUCUGUGAAGAAGAUGAUGUGGGAUCAGUUUGUUGAUCCUAAGGGCAAUAAUUCCAGUUCCAACACGGUUUCGCCGCCACCUCCUCAGUCGUCAAGGGCCAACAGUACUGUACACCCGAGCUAGCUCUAGUCUAUGCUAUUAGUAUUAUCAAAUAUUCCUUUUUCAGGGUUUAUACUAUUACUGAUCUAUCUGCAUUAUAUUAUAAACCAGAUACAUCAAUAAUUCAAUAAACGUGAAUAAGGAAUAUUUGUUUAUAGUAGUGAUCGGAAGGAGUACUGAAUAUUCAUCGAGAUGCAUGCUCUUCUAUUCAUGAUUGUGUUGUGUCUUUCUCUUUUAGUUAUCUUUUUCUCCACCUUCUAUUUUUGUUGGUCUGUAAAUGUAGUCCACCUUAUGAACACGAGUUGCUUUUGCUGUAAUUUCCCAUUUUCCUUUGGGAGGUUUGUAAUGUGUUUGUCUUCUAAGGUGUGAACCAUUUAACGAAUCUAUGAUCAUUGUACACUGCUGCAAAAAUUCCCUUUUGAGGCGUAUAAGUGGGAGGAAAAUCGAUUAUCCGUUAACAGAUGCCAUUUGACACGUGCUUAAUUAAGGUUGUGUUUGGAUUAAAUAAAAUGGAAUUAAUAUACUUGUUUAAUUAGUUGAAUAAAAUGAAGAGUUUUCUAAAAUCAUUUUUUCUUGCAAUUUGUAAUGAAACAUUAUCUUUUUGUUACUUAGUGUUGUUCAUUGAACAUGAUGAAACAUAAUCUGUUAAAAGAUAACAGAAAUAUAAUCCCACAAAAAAGUUCAAAAAGUCCAAUGAGAAAAGUUCAAAAAGUCCAAAGAGUGUGGGUAUGUAUAGAUCCUUCAUGGAUCCUUGGCUUGGCAUAUUUGAGACUUGAGACUUCAUUCAGAUUUGGUUGGUGGAAAUUCUUACAGGAACAUAAAGGCCAGCUAAACUAGUCUUUUUGUACCUUAAUUAUCCCACCCAAAAUUGUAUAUCAUCUUACAAACCUAAAUACUGCAAAUUGAAUGUCUUUAUUCUCCUAUGGGACGCCAUUUGCCCAAAAUUAGAUAAUUAACGGAAAAUAAGCAAAAACUUACUUUAUAAAUUCUUUCAAUAAAAAUACAUUUUCAGAAGGCAUGCAUGUCUAAUUCCAAAAGCCUAAACUCCUUAAAUUAAAAUAAAUACUAUUCUACAAAAAUACCCAUGAACCGCAAAUAUGGCAUUGUCGAUGUGUAAUGCAAAUUCGAUCUUAAGACAUCACUUCCUUAAUUUGAUACAUGAGUAAACCAGCAAAUUAGUCUUUGUAAGUUACUCUCAAAUUAGUCUUUGACUCUAUUAAAAUUUUAAACUAGUUUAUUUCUUUGUCAAAAGUUUCUCGAUUAGGUCCCUCAUUGUGUGACAAAAACAUAAAGACAUAUACCUAAUUGAGAAACUUUUGACAAAAAUAAAUACUAAUUUAAAAUAUUAAUAGACUCGGGACUAAUUUAAGAAUGACAUAUAAAGACAAAAAUCAAUUUGAUGGUUUACUCGAUAUAUCAUAUGAAAAAUUGUCGUUAUAAAUGAGAAUCACAAACCACAUACAUACUAGAAGUAAGGCAUGCAUGAUAAAAUUAAAAGCACUUGUGUUCCUUAAAAAAAAAAAAAAACUUGUGCAAUAUCAUCUACAUGAAUUAUAUGUUGGAAUUAAACGCAAUAGAUAUAAAUCAUGGAUGCAAAUUAUAUCAUAUCUAUAGUGUCAAAGAUAAGAUCGUGAACAUCAUAGCGUACCUUUAAGGUUAAAGAGAUACCGGUGAGAGAAUAGAGAGACUAAACAUAAGAGGCCUAACUAUACCCUCAUAUACUUAAUUGUCUAAAGACAAAUAUCUUUUAUUAGCAUGUCAAAAAAUAAAAUCUUUCAUUAGACUUAACUAAAUGAUUCAAUUCAUUACAGGUACAUUCAAAAGCAAAACUUCAAUCAAAUAUCAGAAUUGAUUAAUUAACUGGCAUCAUUAAUCGGUACACACAAGCAUAUUCAUAUUGCCCGUAAACUUUACUACGUAAUCCAUAUACGUUUAAAAGGAUCCAAUAAAUUUUGUAAAAAGAAGAACGAUCUAGUACUUUUGAAGUUUUUUUGUUUUUGUUUUUUAUUCAAUAACAAAUCAUAUUUUUAUAUUAAUUUGUUUAAAAAUUAAAUCAAAUUUUAAAUAAAUUUUAUCUAUGAAUAUCAAUCUUACCGAAAUCCAACCAUACGCCAUACUGCUUACAAAAUUACCAAACAAUAAUUUGCUUGUAAAAAGAUGAUAAUAAUAGCAUAAUAAGUUGGUAAAUUCUAUGGUACGCGCAAUAUAUUUGAGUGUACCAGUACACAUACUCUUUAAAUUAAUAGUUAAAUAAGUUAUCUUUUGAAGAAAAAAUAUUAUUUUUUAUCAUUUAUAAUUAUAAUAACUAAAUCUUAUUCAUCAAAAAUGUCAACAAAAUAAAAUUAUUAUUUUUUGAAUUUUUUUCACUCAUAUUCGAGAACAUUCAUUAUUUUUUAUGAUAAUAUGUAAGAAAAAUUACUAUAAUUCUUAUAAAUAAUGAAAUUGUGUUUUUUCUUAUGAGAUGAUGUUCUAUAAAAUAUAAAUUUUGACAAAUAGUUAUUUAUUACAUAAAAAAUGAUCGCUAAUUAUAAAAUUAUGAAGCAGGAGUACCGGUACACCUCACUUUAUGAGUGUACCAUAGAAGUUCCUUAAUAAGUUUCCUUCAAAAAUAAAAUAAAAAAUGGUUAACACACGUGAGUUGGACUGGCCGACCCUAACUCUCUUCUCUCUCACCAUUGACCGUCUGUUACCCUUCUCACUCUCACCGUCCGUUUUUUGUUCCUUCUCCUCCCUCCAUUUCCCUGUUCUAACUCCUUCGUCGGAGCUUUUCUUCUCUCCUCCCACUUCCAAACACAACCGCCGCCAUGUAGAUAUCCGCGCGGGUGGUGCAAACGGCGGUAUCACAGCCGCGUCACCACCUCCUUUCCCCUUUUGGGGCUGUUAGAGCAACCGCCGGCGUGUGCAACCGCCACGGUAUGCUUUGUGAUUCUUAAAACUCCAUGGCCAGCGCUCCUCUUGCAGAUCUGGAUGCUGGUUUGACGAGUUGGUUUAGUUUGCAAAGCCGCCGCCGCCUUACCCUUGGAGGUGACGGUGGUUCUGUUAUGUUUGUUUUGACUUUUGAGAAAGAUGUCGGAGCCGCCUCCUCCUGCGGUGGUUGUUUGGUGUUACAUUUACGUUUUGAAUGUGCUUCGUACCAGGUCUUCAAGGCUAGAAAUGGUCAUGUCCUGUUGUCUGUUGUUGCUGUGAUUGGUGGGUGCGGGUGUAACCGUGUUGGCGGUGCUCGUGGUACUCGGUCUCGUUGAUUGACCAUCCCUCGCUCUGGCUUUCAAUUGGAUUUGAGUUGCUUUCUGUUGGAUUUGGCUAGAAAUGGUCGUGAAGCUUACUGUCGCAGCAUAAUGGGUUUGUAGGCGUGGGGAUCCGUAUCCGUGUUGGCGGUCGAAUCUCCCACCUUCACGAAGUUUGACACUAUAACUUGGGGAUGUUUCAAAAUCCGCAUCAGUCUCUGAUGUUGGACUGUUUGUCUCGAAAGAGAUGUUUUGCUUGUUGUUGUCGCAAGGAGUUGUUGGUUCUUGGUUCAAUUCCGUGUUGACGGAUGGUCCAUACAUCAUAUAUUAGGCAUCCACCGGUGUUGUUUUGAUUUUUUUGUAUCACCCGAUUGGGUUGGCAUACACUCUGUGGAUUGACUGGGUUAGGUUUAUGUCCCCCCAGUUUUUUUGUAUUAUUUUUUUUCCUUUUUUUUUUUUUUUAAUAAUAUAUAUAUGAGCACCUGAUAUAGACUGGAAUCUGCAAGACACUCCAAAUCUGUUGAACCGUCUUCUAUUCCUUUUUAUGUCGUUGGACUCUUGGCUUAUAAAAAAAAUAAUAAAAAAUAGCAUAAUAAGUUGCGGCUUGCAUUGGUCACUAUGCUGACAGCAUAAACAUCCGUCACUGUGACGUUUCCUCAUGGUUAGAUUUGGGCACUCCAAAUAUAUGAUUUUGGCACUCAAAGUUUGAUUUUCAGCAUAAAUAUUAAUGAUACCGAUUCUUAGUCACCAAGUAUCUAUUUUUGCUUAAUUAGUCAAUUCUAAAAUCUUGGUGUGGGGGUGGGGUGCAAGCUUAUACAUUUAGACAUUUCUUUAUCAUUUUCAUCGUGAACUUAUCAUAAUUGAUAAAAACAAUACAUAAUAUAUGUAAGGUCGGAGUUUGAACAUUAGCCACCACAAAAACAAAAACAAAUCCUUUAUCAUUCAUUUUAUAUUUUAAAUAUUUCAAAUAUUAACUGUAUGAAAUCCCCACCAUACUCCUCUCUCCAAGCUAGCCAUCAAAACUACAUAUUUUAAAUCUUGUCUCUAGUACUAAUGAAGUUUUCAUCUAUUUCGGUGAAUGUAAAACAAUCAAACAAAAUGACCAAAUGGUCUAUCUGUCACUACUAAAAUUAAUCAAAUUUAUGAUUCACAAUGUUUUUAAAUUGUUGUGGGAGAAUAAUUAGAUGAUUGAUAAGCUAUACUUUCAAGACAAAAACAAAAAACCAUGUGCAUGGACGUGAGAAUGAGUGUGUCUAGGCUCUAGCAAUAUGGAAACCAUCCAUAUAGGCAAAACGGGUGUACGAUUCCCUCUUUGCCGGACAUGUAAUGUAAUAAUUUAAAGAUUGCUAAAAUAUGUUUUUGGUCCCUGCAAAUAUAGCGAGUUUGGAUUUUGGUCUCUAGUAAAAAAAAUAAUUGAAAUUCAUCCCUGUAAAUUUUUUUGUUUUUUAAAAUAAUCCUUGACCCCACUUUAUUGAUAAUUUGGCACAUUUUUGCAUACGUGGCAUUAGCUGACUGUGUCACUUUAUCCACUUGGCAUCCAUGUGGCAUUUAUUUUAAUUAACUAAUUUAAUAAAAAAAUUAUUUUCAAUUUUAAAAUAAAACAAUUAAAUUUUAAUUAAUUAAAAAACCAAUGAAACUGAAGAAAUGGGGUAAAUCUUACGGUUCCCCCAUUUUCCCCCUUUCCUUCUCUGCUUCUUCUUCAAUGGAACUCAUUCAUCCUCUAGUUCCUCCAUCAUCAUUCUUCUUCCAUACCUUUCUAAUCCCAUUUGAAAGUCUUAUCCAAAUCACAAAUGGUAUUCAAAGCAUGCCAAAUUGCAUGAAUGUGUCCACUGUAACUAACUCAUUUUAUCAAAUAAUUGGUGUGCUUCUUGUUCUGCUUCAAAACAACUCCACUACUGUUGUUACUCCUUUUCUUAUGAAGCAUAGAAUCAUCAUUUUUCUACAAAUUGAAUUUUUUGAAUCGAGAUUCUGGGUGUAUGACAUAGUAGCAAACACUCAUUCUCCUUAGGGUUUGAAUCAAUUUCUUUUAGGGUUCAAUGAAGGGAACAAACGAUGGUGAGUUUGACAGAGGAAAAAAGGAGGUUCAUGAAUGGAGGGUGAGGUUCGACGGAGAAAGGAACAAUUGUGAGUUAACAGAGAAGAAGAAUAAGUACUAGGGUGUCGAAGGGUGAGAACAGAGAAGGAGAACAAUAGAGAAGAAUGGAGAAGGAAAUCACCAUUAAGUAACUGAUGAAUUUCUGGGCAACAUAUUCUUCAGUUAUAUUGUUUUUUUAAUUAAAUAAAAAUAAUUGUUUUAUUUUAAAUGCAAAAAUAUAAUUUUUGUUUUUAAAAAUAUUUAAGUUAAUUGAAAUAAAUGUCACAUGGAUGCCAAGUGGACAAAGUGACAUAGUCAACUAAUGCCACAUAUGCAAAUAAGCGCCAAAUCAUCAGUAAAUUAGUGUCAGAGACUAUUUUAAAAAACAAAAAAUUUUGCAGGGAUGAAUUUCAAAAAAAAAAAUUACUAGGGACCAAAACCCAAACUCGUUAUAUUUGCAGGGACCAAAAUCAUAUUUUAGCCUUUAAAGAACAAAUUUCACGGGCACUCAUACACCUAAUUGACACCUUAAGAGGGACAAGAGAUAUAAAUUGUAAUGUGAUAGAUAUAAUAUAUUAGUGAUGUGAUAGGAAAAGAGGGGUAGAAAGAAUAUGAGGUGAUAUAGGUGUUGAAUAGACUUAGACAUGGCAACAAAAUUAUAUAUACACAACAUGCAAGACUCUAAAUGUCAUAUCAAGUUUCAGAACAUUUUUGAAUUUUUAAUCGGUGUGAACAUCUCAUUGGUUUGCAAUUGACAAGUACACAAUGUGUUGGAUGUUUUCCUGUCCCCAAAUGGAUUAAAUUAAGACAAAUUCUAUGGUACACCCAAUAUAUUUGAGUGUACCGGUACACCCACUCUUUAAAUUAAUAGUUAAAUAAGUUAUUUUUUGAAGAAAAAUAUUAUUUUUUAUCAUUUAUAAUUAUAAUAACUAAAUCUUAUUCAUAAAAAAUGUCAACAAAAUAAAAUUACUAUUUUUUUGAAUUUUUAUCACUCAUAAUCGAGAACAUUCAUUAUUUUUUAUGAUAAUAUGUAAAAAUAAUUACUAUAAUUCUUAUAAACAAUGAAAUAAUGUUUUUUCUUAUGAAAUAAUGUUCUAUAAAAUAUAAAUAUUGAAAAUAGCUAUUUAUUACAUAAAAAAUGAUCGUUAAUUUAUAAAAUUAUGAAGCAGGAGUACCGGUACACCUCACUUUGUGAGUGUACCGUAGAAGUUCCCUUAAAUUAAUGAGCAAUGAUAUUUGUACAUCCAUUUAAUGACAAUUUUGGUGACAACUUUGUUUUCCUCUCUUUUGAUUGGUCAAAAACAAUGAAGAGAGAAAAAGGAAGAGAGAGGAUAAUAACAUCAUGUGAAUAUGAGAUAGAAAGUUGUCAAAAAGUUGUAGCAAAAUGGUUGUACAAAUAUCAUUUUAUGACACUAGGUUUAAGGUGGGUUCGAGUUUAGGGCAAAUCGAUCACUCUCUUAACAUAUGACAUUUUUGUGACAUGUGGUUAAGGUUGUGGUUGGAUUAAUUAGAAUUAUGGAAUGGAAUUGUACUUGUUUAAUAGUUAAUAAAAUGGAAAUGUUUAAAAAUAGUAAUUUUUAAAUUGAAAAUUAUAUAGUUAUGACUUAUAUUUUUAAGAUAAAGUUUCUUUUCGUAGGUUCUUAAAAUAAUGUCCUUACUUUACAACACUUGUCAGGAAAACCUUGAUAAAAUGAACAAUUUCCUAAAAUCUUUUUUCUUGCAAUUUGGCGUGUGUUUGUAAUGAACAUUAUUUUUGUUUACAUUGCGUUAUUGAUUCAACAUGAUGACCUCAUCAAAUCAUCAUUGAGAUUCAUGCUUGCAAUAUUAGGGUUUCUCGUCUAGAAGGGAAGAUGUGGAUGACAAUAUUGGGGGAAUUUAUUGGAGAGAUAAAUUGAUAAUGUGACAAGAGAAAUGCUAUAUCCUGCGACAUGAGAUGAGACACCCACGAAUUGCACGACACGCACUGUAGCAGCACGUGCACUUUCCAUUUUAUUGGUUAUUUUUAAAUUUUAUUUUUACUCAAUCUGGUUAUUUAACAUAAACAAUAAAUAUUGAAAAUAAAUAUAUGCAAAAGAGAAAGCAUUUAUGUCCUUAUCUCUAUCACAUGACCGCUUCAUUGCUUCCAUUGUUGGUUACCAAAUAGAGACUCCAUACAACCACUACUCCCUCCAUACAACUUAUACUUUUAAUAUAUGAACCGAAAAACACUCAAUUAAAAAUUGGGUAUUUUGAUGUUGAUCCAACUACAAAAAUAUGCCUAUUGUGUUAAAUGCAUAAAAAAAAAAACUACUCUAAUCUUAACCUAAUUACUCUGUUUGCCUUUUACCCUCCAACUCUCUCUCCAAUCCAUUCCAUCCAUGUAUGCUCUGAAUCAGCUUCUAAGCCACCUAGGAUAUCUCACAUCCCAACCCAGUUUCGGUGGGUCCCGGUUUAGGACUUUUGUAGUUUUGUUUUAGGCUCUGUUUGGUAAAAAUAGCGGAUAGCUGAUAAGCUAACUGAUAAGUUAACUGAAGUGUUUAGUAAAAAUAGCAGUUCAACUAGCUGAUAAAUGUAAAAUGACAUAAAGGGUAUUCUUAAUUCAUAAUAAAAAUUAUAUCAUUAAUUUAAGUAUUUGUAAUUUUGUAAACUAAUUUUUCUUUAAAAAAAUACUUUAAAUUUAUUAAUUUAAUAUAUCCUAUGUAUUAUAAAGUAAAUUAAAUUUUAUUCACUAAAAUUUUAUCUUAUAUUUAUUAUCAUUUAAGUGUUUCUACUUUAUAAAGAAAAUAACAUUUACCUCAAAAACAAAAAAAAAGGUAGCACUAAUAGAGUAAUACUAAUAACAGAGAAUAAAGAAAAUAACACUUACCCAAAAAAAAAAAAAAAAAAGUAACACUAAUAGAAUAAUAGUAUUUUGUUUCGUAAAAAAAAAAACGAAGGUAUAUAUUUUUACAAAAAAAAAAAAAAGGCCAGCUGAUAUAUAUACAAAAAUUGGAAUAAAGGGAUAGUAGUCUUUAUUACGUAGCUUAUUAUAAAAAUUAUAAUGGAUAAAAAUACAAUUUAAAUGAAAUAAUAAGGGUAAAAUUGGAAGAAAAAGUGAGAAGCUAUAAGCUCAAACGCUACUUGGAAUAGCUUCUGAAAAAUAGCUUAUAAGCUCGUAAAAUAAGCUAUAAGCUCAUGGUGAAAAAGUGUUACCAAACAGAACUUUUUUUGUCAAACGAGCUUAUAAGCUAUAAGCUAAAAGCUAAAAGCUCAUUUUUGAGGUGUACCAAACAGAGCCUUAGGUGCUUUUGAGGCCUUGGAGUAGCGAAGCAUGUGCGUCAUGGAAUCUGGAGUUUUAAAUUUUUAAUAGACCAUCAUCAUAAAUCAAAUCAUAUGUGAGUUAUAAAAAUAAGGAAAUUUGCAUAGACAUGUAAAUGCAAUUGGGAAAGAGAUAAACACAUCAAAUAGAUAGCGGAUCUUACCGUUAAGUGGAUUCUACCAUCAUUAAUUACUUUUUAUUUUCUUUAAAUUUUUGUGUGUUUUUAUCUCUUCAAAUUAUAGAAAUGGAGAGAUAAUAAAUGAAGAAGAUCUUGACUCACCCAAAUUAACACGGGAAUAAAUUGAAUUUUAAACCUUGAGGAGAAGCACACUUCUAAGUCUCACGACAACACCACUAAACCAACUUAAGCGGGUUUUAAGAGACACUAUUUAACAUUAUUAUUUUUAUUUUGAUGAACCACGGCCUUUAGUACAUUAUACAUACACACAAUAUUAUUUCUCUCGGUAAGAUUAAUAAUACCUAUUUUAUUUUAUUUUUGACCAGAGAUAUUGCAAAUCUUAAGAAAAUGUUACAUGAACACCCUUUAUUCAUAUGCCCCAUUGUACAUCCUAUGUAUUAGGGAUAUUUUGGUAAGUUCAUCUCACAACCACACUUUAUCUUCUAUUUGUGUAGGGUCCAGGUUGCCACGUGUCAGAAUUUUGUGUGGGUGUAAAGGGUGUAUUGCCGCAUGGGGUGAUACAUGUAUCAUCACUCCAAAUCUUAACCAGCAAGUUUCAGUUUUAGACACGGAGACCACUAUAAAGCCACCCACACCCAUCUCAUUUCCCUUCCAAGCUAGACGAGUUCGAAAAUCCACAUAGUUAUACAACUUUACAAAGUGAUAAGGAAGUGAAAGCCAAGGUGACAGAGGAAGUAUGGUGAAAACAGAGGAAACAGAGCCAUGGCACAAACCAAAAAAUGGGAGUGUCUUCCCUGCAAAUAAACGUUCGGUGAAGAAGAUGAUGUGGGAUAAGAUUGUUGAUCCUAAGGGUUCCAGUUCAAACACGGUUUCACCACCACCUCCUCCAUCCUCCCCAACUAACUCUACAUGCUGAAUAUUCAUGGAGAUGCAUGCAUGCUAUGCAUGAUUGUGUUGUGUACUAUUUUCUUAUAGUUUUCUUUUUUCUUUAAUUGUUGUUCAUUAUGUAGUCGAGCUUACUUUUGCAGUGAUGUUUUACUUGAGUGAAAAAUUUCCCAUUUUUCAUGAUGGGGUUUGUAUUUGUAUCAUCCACUUAUAUUACCAGCUAACCUAAUGAAUAAAUGUUUCAUCUUAAUUUUUCACAAGUUUUUUCAAUUUCAAUGGGAUGAUGAAAAUUAUGUGAUUAUUCAAAAUCAAUAUCUAUGCUAUUUCAUUUCCAGAAUGAAAUAUAUACAUUCAGGUAUUACUUACCUAUGAUUGAUUGCUGAAAACAUGGUGGCAUUUAGGUACUUCCCAGGUACUUACCUAUGUUUGAUUGCUGAAACCUUAAUCUUGGUUUCCCCCUUUUUAAGGUAGCUUGGUUUAGAAAUUUGUGCACAAAAAUAGUAGUGCUGCCACUAACCAGUUAAUUGUAUUUCCACAUUUGCCCCAGAAAGUGUCAAUAUAUAAUAAUUACUUAGGGAAAUUAUUACAAGCUAGCUGCCAUAUUGCUUUGUAAAAGCCUUGCCGUAUAAUAGUUAAUUCAUUACAACGAUCAUUUAAUAAUGAUAACAUGUUUUUUGAGGAACAUUUUCUUCGAUAUUUAACUUGAAAAAAAGAUUCUAAAAUAUACUUAUUGAGAAAAAAGUUCCUCGAAAAACCUUAAUUUUAGCAAGAAACAAUGAUUCUUCUAAAUUUUUUGGUCGGAAUCCUCGAGCUUUCUUGUAGUGUAUAUGAUUGUGGUUAUUCUGGUCAUUUAGGAGUUUAGGGCAUUUAAUAACAUCAGUUAAAGAUAAAAGUGGCUAAUCAUGACUUGAAGUUUUGAAACCCCACCCGAGUCAUUGCUUAUACAAUCAAUUUGUCUUUAAACUAUCACAUUUUCAUCAAUUUAAUCCCUAAACUAAUAAAAUCAACAAAAAAUGUUUUUUCUUAAGAACAAAAAAGGUUCUUAAAUUAUAGAAAUGGCAUCAACGGAGGUAGUUCGUUCAAUAGUUGCUUGACUCUAGCUCACACGACACUUGUAAGUCAAUGAUCUCAAAUUUGAUAUUUUGUUACGAAAACAUAAAACUAAUUAAGUAUGUAAAAAAUAGUAACAAAAUAUCAAGUUAAUGUAUGUAUAAAUCUAACUCUCUUUUGUGUGUGAGGACUCAAAUUGAAGUAUUUAACCCCAAGCACCUUCCAAGAAAUAUAUCAUGUGUGAAGUAAAGUGGUCGUUUGUAAUUUGUAUUGUAAUACCUUCCACACUAUCCACAGUACAAAAUAUACUCAAUGUAUUUUUGUGGUUAUACUUUUAUCGUUACUCUCAGACCUGAUCACCUAAAUUGGAACCCAUGAAUGAAACUUCAUUUCUGACGCAUAUCAAGGUUAUGUAAUGAAAAAAAUAGAAUUUUACCUGUUUAAUUACUGAAUAAAUGAAGAGUUUGACUAAAUCCUUCUUUUUAGAAUUUGGCACUUGCAAGCAAACGUGCUUGUUGAAACAUUAUCUGCCAAAAUAGGACAGAAAUAAUAUGCUUUGCUAAACGGUCAAAAAGUCCAAUGAGGUAUCUGGCGUUUUCCUCCCCAAUUCUGAUCCACGGUAAAAUAAGAAUAAUAAAUUAAUAUAGUACCACCACACUGAGACGUGAGAAGAAGAACGGAAUUAAGCAUCGUCACGUCACGUCACAUGCAUUGCUCGUUGAAAAGGCAAACCGAAGUAGUAUAUAUAAGGAAUGGUCAAGAAUCAAGAUAGAAAUAACGACAAGUACAAAGAGUAUGGAAAAACACAAUCUUACACACCAAACCUAACUACUAUUAUAAGUUUAUAACUAAACUAGCCACCAAUGCUCUUAUCAUAUAGAGUAGUAGGGACAUGGACCCUCUUGUUAUUUCCAAUUCACACUAAAAUGUCUUUCUUUACCCCCACGUGCAACACACCAUAGAACAGCGAACCACUGAAUACCACAGUUAAUGUUCCAUACUCAAAGCCAAACAAACAUCACACUAACAGAUACAAAAAAAAAUCUUUUGUUGACAAUCCAUCACAAAAGACUCCCUCAUAUAUAACAUAUAUAUUAAUGCGUACACGACCAUAGGAAAACGAUAGUAGCAAAACGACAACUGUGAUCUUACAAAAUAUAUAUUAGAACUUGGAAAGUAUUCAUUACGUAUCAUCUGAUAAAAUACCCAAGGCAACAAAAAUUGUUAUAUUUCGUAGAAGGAGCUCAAACUUAAAAUUGAUAUGAUUAUUUAAUAGGUAAGGCUAUGAAAUGCAAUGUCAUCACCCCCAAGAUAAUCUAAAUUGAAACUGCAUACAUAGGGGCAUAUAAGGAAGUGGGUGAAUAAAAAAUUAACCAUCUGUUUUUUAGAGAACAAUUAACCAUCUUUGUUGUGCCUGUGUUGCUACAAAAUAUUUGGUCUGUUGCACUGAAAAAAUGAUUCUAAUAGUUUUCAGUUUGCACUGCUAGCAUAAGGAGAGAUCGAUAGCGUCACAUAUUUUAUUGACGGAAAAUUAAAUUUCGUUUCUAGUUUCCUCGUUGCAAUUAGGGGUGUUCGUUGUGCGGUUUGAUUCGAUUUUAAAGUUAAAAAUCAUUCGAACCACAAGAUAAAAAUGCAUGCGGUUUGGUUUGGUUCAGUUGACUUUUAAAAUAAAAAUCAAACCAAAUCAAUAUGGUUUGGGUUGGUUUGGUUGUUGCGGUUUUCUUGUAAGACAUUACAAUUUUUUAGUUUUCAACGUUAAAAUCAAGAUUAAAGUUAAUAACAACUUAUUUUCAACAAUGUUUCAAUUUUGAACUAACAUUACAAUUUUGUUUUCAUCCUCCCAUCAACAUAUGUCAAAUUAAAAUAAUGGACAAAAAACAAUUCUCUUUGGUAAAAAAUGUAAAAGUUUAAGAUUUUAUCAUUCUCUAAAACUUCACAUUGAGUUUCUAUUCAAGAUAUAUCUAACAUAAACAUGUAUGCAAAAGUGGAAGUAUAAUUGAAUUAAAGCACAUUAAUACAAUUUUAAAUCAAAAGCAUAGAAAAAACUUAGCAAGAGGAACAAUAUGUCUUAGUAAAAAAAAAAAUGUCAUUCUAUAAAAUUUCUCUUUGAAUUUCCAAGAGUACUAGGUUUGUGACUUAAGUUUUAUUAGUGUUUUUCUUAUGUUACAGUUUGGUUUGGUUGCUAAAAUGAAAAUCGCAAACUGAAAUGAACCAUGCGGUUGAGUAAAAAUAUGAUUCGAAUGCAUCCGAGCCAAAUGUGGUUUUUGCGGUUUUCGAUUUGGGUUGGUUCGGUUUGCGGUUUUUCUAUUGGGUUGGUUUGAUUUUGAUCACCCCUAGUUGCAACAUCCUUACUGACAGACAUUUUAUAAUUGCUUAAAUUUUUUAACCUCUCAUUAUAUACGCAUAAUUUAUUUUUAUAUUCUAUAAACUUUUGAAAAAGUUCACAUAUUAGACUCAACUAUGAUUUUUAAGAUUGAAGUAGAGUCUCUUUCAAAAUCUAUUAGACCAUCCACCAUUUAUAUCCACGUUUCAGAUGUCCCGGUCUGGGCGUGAGCGGAUGUGUUAAAUUGUUCGAAUAAAAGAUGGUCAGACAAUAUGAUUUUAUGAGUGGGGGCAAUCUUUAAAAUGUUUUGGUCCAACUUGAAACCUUUAAAACAUAAAUGACCAAUUUGAAACUUUUAAACAUAAGGGACCAACUUGAAACCUAAAAUAGUCAAGCAUACACAAUGAGACCCUCAAUUUAGAGUUCUUAGACGGGUCCCACGUGUAAACAUCAUUCUUUUAUAAUUUUUUAAUAAUAGUACCUAAUAAGCAUUCAACCACUCCAAUGAAGACCCUCUGACGUCGAAAGGUCUAAAUCGGUCCCACCACCAACUCUUCAGCAUUUACAUUCCAACAAAACAAUGAUUAUUUUAAUAAAAAGUAGUGUGAGGUCCACUUAAGAAUAAUGAUCUUAAGUGAGAUCCUCGAUCUUAGAAGACCUCCAAAAAACAUUUCCCCAAUUGAGGUAUCUAUUAGGUAUUGAAUCUUAAAUGGUGAAAAUCUCACCAUUGAAGAUGGUUUAAGGGAUCAACACAUUCAAUUAAGCCUUAAAAUUACGAGUCCCAAUGUUUUUGAAUUGUUGUGGGAGAAUAAUUAGAUGAUUGAUAUGCUAUAACUUUCAAAACAAAAACAAAAAUUCAUGUGCAUGGACGUGAGAGUGAGUGUGUCAAGCAAUAUGGAAACCAUGUAGGUAGAAGGGGUGGACAGAUUCGCUCUUUGUCGAACAUGUAAUCAUUUAAAGAAAAAAAUUCACGGACACUCAUAUAUCUAAUUGACACCUUAAGAGGGAAAGAAAUAUAAAUUGUAAUGUAAUAGAUAUAAUAUAUUGAUGAUGUGAUGGGAAAAGAAAGAUGGAAAGAAUAUGAGGUGACAAAGGUGUUGAAUAGACGUGGUAACAAUAUCGAUACACGCGAUAUCUGCUCAAACUCACCUCAACUCGACAGUUUUCCUCGGUUUGACUGAGUUUGUGUAUAACUUCACCAAUUUUAAAUAGGGAUACGGUGUGUGUAAGGGAGAUAUAGUUACUCACCCCACACCCGUCUCGAAUGUAAAAAAUUAUAUAUGCGCAACAUGCAAGACUCUAAAUGUCAUCUAUAUUUCCGGAGUAUUUUCAAACUUUUAAUUAGCUAGUGUGAACAUAUCAUAGGUUUGCAAUUGACAAAUACUAAAGAUGUUUGGGUGUUUCCCUACCCCAAAUGGAUUAAAUUAAUAGAAAAAUUGUGGAAAUCAAUUUAUGAAGGUAGGUUUGGGUAUUGGGAAAAUUUUGAGUUCAGGGUGGGUUCGAGUUUGGGUCAAAUCGAUCCCUCCAUUAACAUAUGACAUUUUUCUGACGUGUGGUUAAGGUUGUGGUUGGAUAAAUUAAAAUAGUUGAAUGGAAUUAUACAUGUUUACCAGUUAAUAAAAUGAACAGUCUCCUAAAAUCUUUUUUCUUACAAUUUGGCAUGUGUUUGUAAUGAACAUUAUUUUUGUUACAUUGCGUUAUUGAUUCAACAUGAUGAAACAUAAUCAGUUAAAAGUUGACAGAAAUAUAUGGCCAAAAAAACGGUCAAAAAGUCCAAUUAGAAAAGUUGAAUAAAAGUGUCAAGGAAACAAAUGAAGCCAAAAUACUACAGGGUACGUAUAGAUCCUUCUUCAAUCCUUGGCUUGGCAUAUUAAUUUGAGAUCACUUCAGUAGUUUUGGUUGGUGGAAAUUCUAAAUGGGAAACAAAGGCCAACAAUAUUUGUACCUACUUUAAGGUAAAAGCAUCGAUCCAAACCCAAUUAGAAAUCAUAGGAGUAAAAGUAAUACUCCUAACGUGGGAACUUUUUUCUUUCUUUCUUUCUUUUUACGUGGGAAUCUUACGUAAACUUUUCGGUAAUCGUUUUAUAGACAUCAAGGACAUACAUAAUCCAUGCAUACUUCACUUUGUUAAGCGUCCAUGUGUAACAUCGACUAUGGUACAUUGCCUCACAAUUUUGAAGGUCCAAAUUCCUUCAAAUAGAAAUAUUUAAGGGUCUAAAUUUAGGUCAAAUUUGAUAGUCUUAACUUAAUUGCAGCAAUAAAUUUCAAAUUUUGAGGGCUUCAAAGUGUUUUAAGAGUCUAAAUUUCUUCAUAUACUAAUUUUUAGGGAUCCAAAUUUUUUAGGGCUUAAAAUUAAAAUAAGACCUCCAAAAUGUUUAAGACAUCUUUGCUAGUAAAUACCACCUAAAACUACUCUUCUAACCCAAUGAUUGGCUCAUUGCAAGAAUCUUAAUCACCAAGUCUGGAUUUAGUCGGCCCUAAUUUUCUAGUGAGAGAAACUCCAACUUCUCUCUAAACUUUCUUUCUCCUUCGUUCAUCGAGGAGGGGUGAUUUUAGGUCAUUUUUUGACCUAGAAUCACUCUUCUACAUCUUUUUCCCCUUUUCUUUCAAUCUAAAUAAGUGGUUUUCACUUCUUUCAAGUUUUUCUUUUUGUAUUUUUUGUGAUUUCGUCGUCUAAGUGCGGCGUUGUGUUGUUCGUCGUCUUGUGCGGCGUUUUGAUUUCGCGUCUUGUCGCGGUGUUUGUUCAGUUCCUAUUGAAAGAUCUACAUCAGUCAAUACAAAUUCAGCCAAUGAUUUGGACGUCAACAUUGCAGAUCCGGAAGCAUAGGUAUUUCGGUGACUUAGGUUUUAUCAUAUUAUUUGUAGGCAUUUUGCCGUUAUAUGUUAUUAACUUGGGUGUUGUGAGUUUGUUCGCAAAUUCACUCUUUAUGUUUUUAGCGAUGUUUGUAUCUGAUAUACUCUAUCGAUUUGAAUGAAUGAAUAUCGUUUUGUUUUUGUAAAAAAAAAAAAAAAUCUGGAUUUUGAUUGAAACGUAUUAUUUCAGUAAUUUUAAAAGCAAAAUUUAUUUUAAGACCUCUUAUAUAUAGACACAAUUAAUUUUUCUACACUCAUAACUCAUUCAAUACUUGGUUUAUUCUCUUCCCCUUAGAUCAAAUUUUUUUAUUCAUUCUGUUUUUAAAUGAGUGUCGUUUUAGCAAAAAAAUAUUUCAAAAUGAAUGUCACUUUUGAUUUCCAAUGCAAUAAUAACUUUUUCUUUUCAAUUGUACCUUUCAAUUAAUACUAUAUACACUACUUCUAAAGUAUUAUUUUUUCUUUAUCGAAAAACAAAUUAAUAGUUGAUUAUAAUAAUUUGAUAAAAUAACAUCUUCCUUUCUUUUAAUUAAUGUAUUUCUUAAUAUGUAUGUAAAACAUUCAUUAUGAAACGGAGAAAAUAUUUUUUUAUCUAUCGCUGUAUUGGGUGGUUGCAUGUAUGCGUGUCGAUAAUUUGUUGGGUGGAUCCCUCCUCAAGCGAGGGCCAAACACUUAUCUAAGAAAAAAAAGUGUGUUUUUGGUGUAUUGCCACAUAGGAUGGUAUAUGUAUCAUCACUCUUUUAUGAAUGGGCUCUUGUGCUACGUGUGUAUUGGUAAAUGGGUUGGUAACCCAUGUGUGUGUUAAGUGAUAUAAAAGGGAAUCAUAAUCCCUAGUUGCAGUAUUGGUGCGUGAGAAAAAUUGUGGCGCACAGUAAGAUAAUUUUGAGAGAGAGCAACACGCCACAGAGGAAGAAGAUUUUGGAUACCGGUGAAAAAAGUAUAUUUGGCAAACUAUCUUUGUUUAGAUAAUUUUUCUAAGAAAAAAGUAUAUUUGGCAAACUAUCUUUGUUUAGAUAAUUUUUCUAAGUAGUUUUGUCUUCUCUUUCUCUUUGUGUCUGUUUUGGAUACUUUUUAGGGUUUGCUCACCGGUUGUUAUAAUCAUCAUAUUUGUUGAUAAUUCGAUGAUUGUCGCAGUUCUUAAAGAUUUAGAAAGACAUUGAUCGUAACCAUUAGGGUUGGGAAUAGGCCAGGCCGGCCUAGAGAGGCCUAUGGCCUGGCCUGUUUAAGUCUGGCCUGGCUUGACCUGUUUAUUAAAAAGGUUAGGCUUAGGCUUUUUAAAAAGCCUAUUUAAGUAAAUAGGUCAGGCUUAAACUAUCAAAAAAGCCUAUGAAGCCUAAUAGGCCGGCCUGUUUAUGCAUGUUAGGCUUCAUAGUGACUUUUUAAAUAGGCUUUAAAGCUUUAUAGUGAAAUAGGCUUUUAAGGCCUUAUAGUAGUGAUAGACAAGUCUUACACUGAAAUAGGUUUUGAUGCCUAUUAAACCUAUUUAAAAGUAGAUAAAAUGGAAUGUUUAGUGACUUUAAUAGUAAGUAGGCCUGUAAAUAGGCUUUCAGGCCAGGCCAGACUUUUAAAUAGGCCAGGUCAGGCCAAAAAAAUAAGCCUAUGAAAGGCCAUAGGCCAGGCUCAGGCCUGGAAAUUUUUUCGUAAGCCAGGCUCAGGCCUAUCAAAGCCUGGUCUGGCCUAGCCUAUUCCCAAUCCUAGUAACCAUUAUCGUGAUAGUGGAAGUUUUUGGCAAAACUAGGUCCAAUGGUUUUUAUUUUCUCAUAUUGAGAGGAGUUUUCCACGAUAAAUUCCCUGUGUUCUCAUUUAUGGCUUUUACUCAUUGUUGUUGUUGUUGGUUGUGCGGGAUUAAUUUGAUUGUUCAAGUUUCACAAAAAGAGAUAAUCCAAGCUUCCGCUUAUUCCGUAUUGCACACUCUGAUCCCAAGACAAAUUUCCUUAUUUUUAACUAUGUUAUUUAUGCACAUGAUUUGAUUGAUAUAUGAUGAUGGUCCAUUAAAAAUUUAGGUUUAAUUGCACUUUUGAUCCUCGUAUUUUAACCAACUCACAAAAUUGAUCCUGCCUUUUUCAAAUUAAACAAAGCAGUCCCUAUCUCUCAUGGUUUUUUCAAUUUUAGUCCUAACCCCUAUUUUUCCCUCCCAAAAUGUUGAUAUGACAAAGAAAUACCUAUGUGACAAUGCCAACGAAAAAAUGACAUUAACAUGUCAUUAAAACAACAUUUUUUUUAAUUUAAAAAACCAACUUAAACAUUUCAGAAAUUAAAACAAAAAAAAAAAUUGAAAGAAAAAAAAGGAAUAAAUAAAAUUGAAAGAAAGAUAAAAUCCCUAAUUCCAAAAUCUAGAGUGAAGCACUCAAAUCCUAUUCAAUUCCUUCCAUCUUUUCCUUCUUCCAUCCUCGUUCCUUCAUUUCUUUCUCAUGCAUCGAAGAAAUUGAAAAGGCUUCAACAAUAAAUGUUCAUAUAUUCUUUUGUUUCAACUAAAGCCACGAGCACAUAAUCUAUUGAAAGUUCAUGGGAUUCAUCUUUUAAAUUUUAGGUUUUUCAUAUUUGAAGUUAAAUGUUUGGGUUCAUAUGGGUCAAAAUCUUCUUCUAAGUUCUCUGAAAAAUGAAUGAGCAUGGAGCUCGAUUGAUGGGUGCCUGAAGCUUGCCCAUUCGAUGGGUAAAGCCGAUACAGAAAGAAGGAAUAAAUGAGGUAGAAAUAGUAAAUAAGGUUCUCGAAAGUGAAGGAUUAGAGGGAAUGUAUCAAUGGUUGAAGUUUUUUUUUUGUUUCUCAUUUCUUCCUAUUUCAGAUUUGGAUUUGUUUUCUUUUGUGAAAUAGGGAUUCAGUUUUGUUUUUUUAUAAAUCCAUAACUUUGUUGUUGUUGAAAUAGGGAUUCAAUAAUAUGCUAUUGCAAUUUCCAAUAUUUCUCUUCUUUGUUUCCACUUUAGCCAUGCUGACUUGCUGUUGAUGAUGAGGAAGAUGAAGUUUCUUUAGGUUUUUUUUUUUCAAACCCAUAUCAAUGUAGAACAGAUUAUGGAAAUUAUUGCUAUUUUAAUAUUGUAAUUUAAGUUUUAUUUAUUUUUUAGUUAAAUUGUAAUUUUAAAUAAUUAUUUAUUUUUCCAAACCAAAAGAGAUGAUUUUGAUGACAUGUUAAUGACAUUUUGCAAGUUAGCAUUGCCACAUAGGUGUUCUUUUGGCCACAUCAGUUAAAAAUUCAACACAUCAACGUUUUUUGAGGGAAAAAUAGGGGUUAGGACAAAAAUUGCAAAAAAAAUAUGAUAGUUUAGAGACUGCUUUGUUCGAUUUAAAAAAUGUAUGAUCAAUUUCGUGAAUUGGUCAAAAUGCGUGUAGCAAAAGAGAAAUUAUGCCAAAAAUUUAAAACUCCGUAAUCCAUGACCACAUGCUUUGCUACGCAAGGCCUCAAAUCAAAAGCACCUAAAACAAAACUACAAAAGUCCUAAGCCGGGACCCACCGAAAAUGGGUUGCGGGGUGAGAUAUACUAGGUGGUCUAGAAGCUGAUUCAAAGCAUGCAUGCAUGCAUGGAUGGAAUGGACUGGAAAGAGAGUUGGAGGGUAAAAGGCAAACAUAUUCAUUCGUGUACAUGUGUGGUCUUCACAAUCAACUAAUCACUUGAAGUGCAUAACCCAUCAGAAUUGACUGCAGUAAAUUUGUUUAUGCAUAUAACACAAUUGGUAUAUUUUUGGUGGUUGGAUCAACAUCAAAAUACCCAAAUUUUAUUUCAAUGUUUUUUGUUUUAAAUAUCAAAUUUUAAUUAAUGCCAAACCUUUUUAUGUAAGUUGUUACUUUUCAUCAUGUAAUAAUUACAUUAUAUUUUAUAAAAAAUAUAUUUGUUUUGGUUGUUUAACCAAUGUUUGAUAGACACGAUAUAACAUUCUAUUUUUAUUUGGAAGAACCACUAGCUAGACCUUUAAUAAUACCAAUUUUAUUUUUUCUCAAUAAGACUAAUAGUACCAAUUUUAUUUUAUUUUUGACUAGAGAUAUUGCCAAUCUUAAUCAACAAGUUGUUGUUCUAGACGGAGACCCUUAUAAAACCCCCCACACCCAUUUCGUUUCGCUUCCAUGCUACAAGAAUUCGAAAAUCCACAUAGAAAUACAACUUUACACAGUGACAGGGAAGUGAACGUUAAGGCGACAAAGGAAAUAUGGAGAAAACAGUGGAAACAGAGGCAUGGCACAAACCAAAGAAUGGAAGUGUAUUCCCUCCAAAGAAACGUUCUGUGAAGAAGAUGAUAUGGGAUCAGAUUGUUAAUUACAAGGGUAAUUCCAGUUCAAACACGGUUUCACCGCCACCUCCUCCAUCCUCAAAGUCCAAAACAUGCCCCAACUAGCUCUACAUGCUGAAUAUUCAUGGAAAUGCAUGCAUGCAUGCAUGCAAGCUAUGCAUGAUUGUGUUGUGUAUUUUCUUAUAAGUUUGCAUUUUAUGUAUUUUUACAUUUUUUCUUUCUUGUUGUUCAUCAUGUAGUCGAGGUUGCUUUUGCAAUGUUGUUUUGCUAGUGUGAAAUUUUUUUCCAUUUUCCAUGGGGUUUGUGUUUGUAUCGUCCGCUUAUACUACCAGCAUACCUAAUGAAGAACUAUUUCAUCUUAUUUUUCAC
rnacentral:lncRNA from 1 species